GCCCUCUUGGCCCAACAGAUAAGGCAUCGGUCUCCUAAACCGGGGAUUGCGGGUUUGAAUCCCGCGGAAGGUA
rnacentral:tRNA from 13 species